GGCCAGGUAGCUCAGUUGGUAGAGCAGGGGACUGAAAAUCCCCGUGUCGGUGGUUCGAUUCCGCCCCUGGCCACCA
rnacentral:tRNA from 3 species